GACGAACACUGGCGGCGUGCUUAACACAUGCAAGUCGAACGGAAAGGCCCUGCUUUUGUGGGGUGCUCGAGUGGCGAACAGGUGAGUAACACGUGAGUAACCUGCCCUUGACUUUGGGAUAACUUCAGGAAACUGGGGCUAAUACCGGAUAGGAGCUCCUGCUGCAUGGUGGGGGUUGGAAAGUUUCGGCGGUUGGGGAUGGACUCGCGGCUUAUCAGCUUGUUGGUGGGGUAGUGGCUUACCAAGGCUUUGACGGGUAGCCGGCCUGAGAGGGUGACCGGCCACAUUGGGACUGAGAUACGGCCCAGACUCCUACGGGAGGCAGCAGUGGGGAAUAUUGCACAAUGGGCGGAAGCCUGAUGCAGCAACGCCGCGUGCGGGAUGACGGCCUUCGGGUUGUAAACCGCUUUCGCCUGUGACGAAGCGUGAGUGACGGUAAUGGGUAAAGAAGCACCGGCUAACUACGUG
rnacentral:rRNA from 1 species